rnacentral:rRNA from 1 species
GAUGAACGCUGGCGGCGUGCCUAACACAUGCAAGUCGAGCGAAGCGCUUAAAUAAGAUUUCUUCGGAAUGACGAUUUUUGUGACUGAGCGGCGGACGGGUGAGUAACGCGUGGGUAACCUGCCUCAUACAGGGGGAUAACAGUUAGAAAUGACUGCUAAUACCGCAUAAGACCCCAGCUUCGCAUGAAGCGGUGGUAAAAACUCCGGUGGUAUGAGAUGGACCCGCGUCUGAUUAGCUAGUUGGUAAGGUAACGGCUUACCAAGGCGACGAUCAGUAGCCGACCUGAAAGGGUGACCGGCCACAUUGGGACUGAGACACGGCCCAGACUCCUACGGGAGGCAGCAGUGGGGAAUAUUGCACAAUGGGGGAAACCCUGAUGCAGCGACGCCGCGUGAAGGAUGAAGUAUUUCGGUAUGUAAACUUCUAUCAGCAGGGAAGAAAGUGACGGUACCUGACUAAGAAGCCCCGGCUAACUACGUG